rnacentral:rRNA from 1 species
CGAAGGGGGGCUAGCGUUGCUCGGGAAUCACUGGGGCGUAAAAGGGGCGCGUAGGCGGCCAUUUCAAGUCGGGGGGUGAAAGCCUGUGGGCUCAACCACAGAAUUGCCUUCGAUACUGUUUGGCUUGAGUUUGGUAGAGGUUGGUGGAACUGCGAGUGUAGAGGUGAAAUUCGUAGAUAUUCGCAAGAACACCAGUGGCGAAGGCGGCCAAACUGGGACCAACACUGACGCUGAAGGCGCGAAAAGCGUGGGGGAGCAAACAGGAUU